UACGUAGGGGGCAAGCGUUGCCCGGAUUCAUUGGGCGUAAAGAGCGUGUAGGCGGCCAGGUAGGUCGGUUGUGAAAACUGGAGGCUCAACCUUCAGAGGUCGACCGAAACCAUCUGGCUAGAGUCCGGGAGAAGAGAGUGGAAUUCCGUGGUGUAGCGGUGAAAUGCGCAGAUAUCAGGAGGAACACCCGUGGCGAAGGCGGCCCUCUGGCUCGACCCUGACGCUGAGGCGCGAAAGCGUGGGGAGCGAACGGG
rnacentral:rRNA from 1 species